CGGUUCUCGUGGGCUGAUACCUUCGAAGUGAAUGAAGGAGAGACCAAACACGCACCAAAAAUAUACCAGGGAAAUGCAGUACUGCUCUGUGAGUGAGCAAGGACACUUCUCUGAACCAGUACUUUACAUAUUUAUUCUGAUUUUUUAUUGAUAACUUUGGUGGAUGUUGCAUGCUGGGAACACUGAGCUUUGAUAUCUAAUUGUUGUAGUGCUAUUGCUCCUAAGUGUUAAGUGUAAACAGGGAAAAAAUAUUCUUAUUAUAUUCACGCUAUCGUUUUCUUACACGUGCUUUUUCUUACAUGCAUUCAUUUUUGUUGUCAAGUGGAAUCUCUACUCAUGUAAUCUAUUCCAUGCCAGGCUGUGCAGCAGUUCAUCUAACCUGAAUGUUUCCAGCAAAGGCAUUCUUGAGUAACACUGAGAAGUUGGCUGCCUUUGAGAUGGCUGACAUUCACACAUUGCACAACCAACCAGGAGUUCAGCAGUUCCCCACACUGUAAAGAGUCCUCUUUGAGCACUGUAUUUGUCUUGGCUUUGGUUUGAUUUCUUUCCCAACCUGAAGUCUAAAUGAAUGGUUCUUGAGCAUUUCAGGAUUAUAGAAUAUAGAUAUGAAGAGAUAAUAAAAUCUUCAAAGCCAAGUGCUAUUUCCCAUUGCUCACAUAUUUCCUGGAGUUGAAUGCCUGGUCACAGAAACCAAUAAAAUCUGCUGAGAAAUCUGUCAGAAGAUGAGCUUCAAUCUUACGUACAAAGUUGUUAUUGUAGUGAAAAGGUGCAUUAAGCAUCACUGUUGCUGUUACAGCCUUCUCUACCUGAAGCUGAAGGGUCACGUGUCCCUGUGAAAUGAGGGCAGUGAUUGUGAGAAGUGUCUGGGGAAGCUCUUCUCUGUCCGGAUCUGUUCCCUACUAUAGUGGUGCCAGUGGUCAGGUUACCAUAAAAGAAGGGUACGGGUCCACCUUCCUCACUCUGAGGUCCCGAGGAUGAGUCAGAAGCAGUGGUAGGAGCUUGAGGAAGCAGAUACCAUGUGGUUCUGUAACUGUUGUGUGGCAUGAAUGAGGAGCUGCAUUCCCAAUUUUAUGUGCUGAUGAAGUCCUACAGCUGUUAUUUGUAAGAUGUCUCUGUGUUGCUGAUUGUCCUGUUUUCCUUUGGAAUAGUGGUGACUUCCUUUGCGGUGGCUGUUCUGAUGGUUUGUUUUUCUUUAGGGGGACAACCACGUUUAGAACAACAACUACUGAGUAGUUACUGAGCAGUGUUGCACAGAGCCAGGGACCUUUCAGCUUCUCAUACUGUCCUGUGAGUGAGUGUUAUGGUGUUGCUGAAGAAGCUGGGAGGGGGCAGAAGC
rnacentral:lncRNA from 1 species